GAUGAACGCUGGCGGCGUGCCUAAUACAUGCAAGUCGAGCGAACAGACGAGUAGCUUGCUCCUCUGACGUUAGCGGCGGAAGGGAGAGUAACACGUGGAUAACCUACCUAUAAGACUGGGAUAACUUCGGGAAACCGGUGCUAAUACCGGAUAAUAUAUUCAACCGCAUGGUUCAAUAGUGAAAGAGGGUUUUGCUGUCACUGAUAGAUGGAUCCGCGCCGCAUGAGCUGGUUGGUAAGGUAACGGCUUGCCAAGGCAACGAUGCGUAGCCGACCCGAGAGGGGGUAGGCCCACUGUGGGACUGAGAGGCGGUACAGACUCCUAGGGGAGGCAGAAGUAGGGAAUGGUGGGCGAUGGGCGGAAGCCUGACGGAGCAGCGCAGCGUGAGUGAUGAAGGUCUGCGGGUCGUAAGACGGUGUUAGUAUGGAAGAACAAAUGUGUAAGGAACUAUGCACGUCUUGACGGUACCUGCACAGAAAGCAACGGCUAACUACGUG
rnacentral:rRNA from 1 species